rnacentral:rRNA from 1 species
AAUCAACGCUGGCGGCGUGCCUCAGACAUGCAAGUCGAACGCGAAAGUCCCCUUCGGGGGACAAGUAGAGUGGCGCACGGGUGAGUAACACGUAGGUAAUCCACCUUCGGAUGGGGAAUAACAACCGGAAACGGUUGCUAAUACCGCAUAAUGCAGCGGCACCUAAUGGUGACAGUUGUUAAAGCGGGGGAUCGAAAGACCUCGCGUCUGAAGAGGAGCCUGCGGCGGAUUAGCAGUUGGUAGGUAACGGCUUACCAAGGCGACGAUCCGUAGCCGGCCUGAGAGGGCGGUCGGCCACACUGACACUGACAUACGGGUCAGACUCCUACGGGAGGCAGCAGUCGGGAAUUUGGGCAAUGGGCGAAAGCCUGACCCAGCAACGCCGCGUGAAGGAUGAAAUCCCUCGGGAUGUAAAC